GGGUAAUCUACCCCUCGGAGGGGGAUAACCGGGGGAAACCCCGGCUAAUACCCCAUACGAUCCGGCAACGAAGGUUGCUGGAUGAAAGGGGCGUUUGCUCCGCCGAGGGAUGAGCCCGCGGCCCAUCAGGUAGUUGGUGGGGUAAUGGCCCACCAAGCCUACGACGGGUAGCCGGCCUGAGAGGGUGGUCGGCCACAAGGGCACUGAGACACGGGCCCUACUCCUACGGGAGGCAGCAGUGGGGAAUCUUGGACAAUGGGCGAAAGCCUGAUCCAGCGACGCCGCGUGGGGGAUGAAGCCCUUCGGGGUGUAAACCCCUGUUGCGAGGGAGGAAUAAGGCCUGGAGGAAAUGCCAGGCCGAUGACUGUACCUCGCGAGGAAGCCCCGGCUAACUACGUGCCAGCAGCCGCGGUAAUACGUAGGGGGCGAGCGUUACCCGGAUUCACUGGGCGUAAAGCGGGUGUAGGCGGCUCGGUAAGUCGGGUGUGAAAUCCCACAGCUCAACUGUGGAAUUGCGCCCGAAACUGCUGAGCUUGGGGCCGGUAGAGGGAGACGGAACUGCCGGUGUAGGGGUGAAAUCCGUAGAUAUCGGCAGGAACGCCGGUGGGGAAGCCGGUCUCCUGGGCCGCGCCCGACGCUGAGACCCGAAAGCUAGGGGAGCAAACCGGAUUAGAUACCCGGGCAGUCCUAGCCGUAAACGAUGCCCACUAGGUGUGGGGGAUUAAUUCCUCCGUGCUGUAGCUUACGCGUUAAGUGGGCCGCCUGGGGAGUACGCCCGCAAGGGUGAAACUCAA
rnacentral:rRNA from 1 species